rnacentral:rRNA from 1 species
GCCAGCAGCCGCGGUAAUACGUAGGUGGCAAGCGUUAUCCGGAUUUAUUGGGCGUAAAGCGAGCGCAGGCGGUCUUUUAAGUCUAAUGUGAAAGCCUUCGGCUCAACCGAAGAAGUGCAUUGGAAACUGGGAGACUUGAGUGCAGAAGAGGACAGUGGAACUCCAUGUGUAGCGGUGAAAUGCGUAGAUAUAUGGAAGAACACCAGUGGCGAAGGCGGCUGUCUGGUCUGUAACUGACGCUGAGGCUCGAAAGCAUGGGUAGCGAACAGGAUUAGAUACCCUGGUAGUCCAUGCCGUAAACGAUGAUUACUAAGUGUUGGAGGGUUUCCGCCCUUCAGUGCUGCAGCUAACGCAUUAAGUAAUCCGCCUGGGGAGUACGACCGCAAGGUUGAAACUCAAAAGAAUUGACGGGGGCCCGCACAAGCGGUGGAGCAUGUGGUUUAAUUCGAAGCUACGCGAAGAACCUUACCAGGUCUUGACAUCUUCUGCCAACCUAAGAGAUUAGGCGUUCCCUUCGGGGACAGAAUGACAGGUGGUGCAUGGUUGUCGUCAGCUCGUGUCGUGAGAUGUUGGGUUAAGUCCCGCAACGAGCGCAACCCUUAUUACUAGUUGCCAGCAUUCAGUUGGGCACUCUAGUGAGACUGCCGGUGACAAACCGGAGGAAGGUGGGGACGACGUCAAAUCAUCAUGCCCCUUAUGACCUGGGCUACACACGUGCUACAAUGGAUGGUACAACGAGUCGCGAAACCGCGAGGUUUAGCUAAUCUCUUAAAACCAUUCUCAGUUCGGACUGUAGGCUGCAACUCGCCUACACGAAGUCGGAAUCGCUAGUAAUCGCGGAUCAGCAUGCCGCGGUGAAUACGUUCCCGGGCCUUGUACACACCGCCCGUCACACCAUGAGAGUUUGUAACACCCAAAGCCGGUGGGGU